rnacentral:tRNA from 1 species
GUAUAUAUAAGCUCAGUGGUAGAGCACAUGCUUAGCAUGCAUGAAGUCCUGGGUUGAAUCCCCAGUACCUCCA